rnacentral:lncRNA from 7 species
GUGAUUGGGGGAAGUAGUGCUCACACCAUUUCUUGUCCAUUGACAUCAGCGCUCCACGCCUGCGCCCCCGAAUUCCCAAAUCCUGCGGCGCCUCCGCCCCAACCCCGCUCGUCGACUCCUCUCUUCCGAACACGCCGGAGGAAUCCUUCUCCGACUCGUCUUCCACCUCUCUGCCGGGCUGGCGUGGAUUGGUCUCUUCUUCUGCUGCAUGGUACGAUUUGGUUCUUCUUCAGUGCACCUAGAUCGACAUUAGUCAACGCCAUAUGUCAAUCAACGUGCCGAACCAUUUGGGUGUUAACUGAACCUCUUGCUCCUGAUCAGUGUUACGGGGGUGUUACCGUGUUAGACCUGUUUGGUUUUCAAGAGCGAACAGCUUAACUGCUUAAGUUUGGUAGUUCACAUCGAACCGGUGUCUAUGAUUUUUCUCUGUCAGACCUUUUUAUAAGGAUUCAAGGUGGCU